rnacentral:rRNA from 1 species
GACGAACGCUGGCGGCGUGCCUAAUACAUGCAAGUAGAACGCACAGUUUAUACCGUAGCUUGCUACACCAUAGACUGUGAGUUGCGAAUGGGUGAGUAACGCGUAGGUAACCUGCCUGGUAGCGGGGGAUAACUAUUGGAAACGAUAGCUAAUACCGCAUAAUAUUGAUUAUUGCAUGAUAAUUGAUUGAAAGAUGCUAUUGCAUCACUACAAGAUGGACCUGCGUUGUAUUAGCUAGUAGGGGAGGUAACGGCUCACCUAGGCGACGAUACAUAGCCGACCUGAGAGGGGGAUCAGCCACACUGGGACUGGGACACGGCCCAGACUCCCACGGGAGGCAGCAGUAGGGAAUCUUCGGCAAUGGACGAAAGUCUGACCGAGCAACGCCGCGUGAGUGAAGAAGGUUUUCGGAUCGUAAAGCUCUGUUGUAAGAGAAGAACGGGUGUGAGAGUGGAAAGUUCACACUGUGACGGUAUCUUACCAGAAAGGGACGGCUAACUACGUG